rnacentral:rRNA from 1 species
AUUGAACGCUGGCGGCAGGCCUAACACAUGCAAGUCGAGCGGAUGAGGGGUGCCUGCAUCCCGAUUCAGCGGCGGACGGGUGAGUAAUGCCUAGGAAUCUGCCCGAUAGUGGGGGACAACGUUUCGAAAGGAACGCUAAUACCGCAUACGUCCUAAGGGAGUAAGUGGGGGCUCUUCGGACCUCACGAUAUCGGAUGAGCAUAAGUCGGAUUAGCUAGUUUGUGGGGUAAAGACUCACCAAGGCGACGAUCCGUAACUGGACUGAGAGGAUGAGCAGUCACACCGGAACGGGGACACGGUCCGGACUCCUACGGGAGGCAGCAGUGGGGAAUAUUGGACAAUGGGCGCAAGCCUGAUCCAGCAAUGCAGCGUGUGUGAAGAAGGCCUUCGGGUUGUAAAGCACUUUAGCCUGGAAAGAAAAAACUUUGGUUAACACCCAAAGUCUUGACGGUACCAGGAGAAUAAGCACCGGCUAACUCUGUGCCAGCCGCCGCCGUAAAAC